rnacentral:rRNA from 1 species
AACGAACGCUGGCGGCAGGCUUAACACAUGCAAGUCGAUCGCUGUCUUCGGACAGAGAGGCGCACAGGUGAGUAACACGUGGGAACAUGCCCUUAAGUACGGAAUAACACAUGGAAACGUGUGCUAAUACCGUAUACGCCCUACGGGGGAAAGAUUUAUCGCGUUAAGGAUUGGCCCGCGUCCGAUUAGCUAGUUGGUGAGGUAAUGGCUCACCAAGGCGACGAUCGGUAGCUGGUUUGAGAGAAUGAUCAGCCACACUGGGACUGAGACACGGCCCAGACUCCUACGGGAGGCAGCAGUGGGGAAUAUUGGACGAUGGGCGAAAGCCUGAUCCAGCCAUGCCGCGUGAGUGAAGAAGGCCUUCGGGUUGUAAAGCUCUUUCAGAUGUGAAGAUGAUGACGGUAGCAUCAGAAGAAGCCCCGGCUAACUUCGUGCCAGCCGCCGCCGUAA